rnacentral:rRNA from 1 species
GAUAAACGCUGGCGGCGCACAUAAGACAUGCAAGUUGAACGGACUUAAUCGAAUUAUUUCUAUUUUGAAGCGGUUAGUGGCGGACUGGUGAGUAACGCGUAAGGAACCUGCCUAUUAUAGGGGAAUAACAGUGAGAAAUCAUUUCUAAUACCGCAUAUGCCAUAGAUAUCACAUGAUAACAGUGGGAAAGGAGCAAUCCGCUAAUAGAUGUCCUUGCGUCUGAUUAGAUAGUUGGUGGGGUAACGGCCUACCAAGUCGACGAUCAGUAGCCGGACUGAGAGGGUGAACGGCCACAGUGGGACUGAGAUGCGGCACAGACUAGUACGGGAGGCAGCAGUCGGGAAUAUUGCGCAAUGGAGGAAACUCUGACGCAGUGACGCCGCGUAUAGGAAGAAGGUUUUCGGAUUGUAGACUAAUGUCGUUAGGGAAGAGAAAGGAAAGUACCUAAGGAGGAAGCUCCGGCUAACUACGUG